rnacentral:rRNA from 1 species
UACGUAGGGGGCUAGCGUUGUCCGGAAUCAUUGGGCGUAAAGCGCGUGUAGGCGGUCCGGUAAGUCCGCUGUGAAAGUCGGGGGCUCAACCCUCGAAUGCCGGUGGAUACUGUCGGGCUAGAGUGCGGAAGAGGCGAGUGGAAUUCCUGGUGUAGCGGUGAAAUGCGCAGAUAUCAGGAGGAACACCAAUUGCGAAGGCAGCUCGCUGGGACGUCACUGACGCUGAGACGCGAAAGCUAGGGGAGCGAACAGG